rnacentral:rRNA from 1 species
GUACGACGGAGCACGUGAAAUUCCGUCGGAAUCUGGGAGGACCAUCUCCUAAGGCUAAAUACUCUCUAGUGACCGAUAGUGAACCAGUACCGUGAGGGAAAGGUGAAAAGCACCCCGGAAGGGGAGUGAAAUAGAACCUGAAACCGUGUGCUUACAAGUAGUCAGAGCCCGUUAAUGGGUGAUGGCGUGCCUUUUGUAGAAUGAACCGGCGAGUUACGAUUUGAUGCAAGGUUAAGCAGUAAAUGUGGAGCCGUAGCGAAAGCGAGUCUGAAUAGGGCGUUUAGUAUUUGGUCGUAGACCCGAAACCAGGUGAUCUACCCUUGGUCAGGUUGAAGUUCAGGUAACACUGAAUGGAGGACCGAACCGACUUACGUUGAAAAGUGAGCGGAUGAACUGAGGGUAGCGGAGAAAUUCCAAUCGAACCUGGAGAUAGCUGGUUCUCUCCGAAAUAGCUUUAGGGCUAGCCUCAAGUGAUGAUUAUUGGAGGUAGAGCACUGUUUGGACGAGGGGCCCCUCUCGGGUUACCGAAUUCAGACAAACUCCGAAUGCCAAUUAAUUUAACUUGGGAGUCAGAACAUGGGUGAUAAGGUCCGUGUUCGAAAGGGAAACAGCCCAGACCACCAGCUAAGGUCCCAAAAUAUAUGUUAAGUGGAAAAGGAUGUGGCGUUGCCCAGACAACUAGGAUGUUGGCUUAGAAGCAGCCAUCAUUUAAAGAGUGCGUAAUAGCUCACUAGUCGAGUGACACUGCGCCGAAAAUGUACCGGGGCUAAACAUAUUACCGAAGCUGUGGAUUGUCCUUUGGACAAUGGUAGGAGAGCGUUCUAAGGGCGUUGAAGCAUGAUCGUAAGGACAUGUGGAGCGCUUAGAAGUGAGAAUGCCGGUGUGAGUAGCGAAAGACGGGUGAGAAUCCCGUCCACCGAUUGACUAAGGUUUCCAGAGGAAGGCUCGUCCGCUCUGGGUUAGUCGGGUCCUAAGCUGAGGCCGACAGGCGUAGGCGAUGGAUAACAGGUUGAUAUUCCUGUACCACCUAUAAUCGUUUUAAUCGAUGGGGGGACGCAGUAGGAUAGGCGAAGCGUGCGAUUGGAUUGCACGUCUAAGCAGUAAGGCUGAGUAUUAGGCAAAUCCGGUACUCGUUAAGGCUGAGCUGUGAUGGGGAGAAGACAUUGUGUCUUCGAGUCGUUGAUUUCACACUGCCGAGAAAAGCCUCUAGAUAGAAAAUAGGUGCCCGUACCGCAAACCGACACAGGUAGUCAAGAUGAGAAUUCUAAGGUGAGCGAGCGAACUCUCGUUAAGGAACUCGGCAAAAUGACCCCGUAACUUCGGGAGAAGGGGUGCUCUUUAGGGUUAACGCCCAGAAGAGCCGCAGUGAAUAGGCCCAAGCGACUGUUUAUCAAAAACACAGGUCUCUGCUAAACCGUAAGGUGAUGUAUAGGGGCUGACGCCUGCCCGGUGCUGGAAGGUUAAGAGGAGUGGUUAGCUUCUGCGAAGCUACGAAUCGAAGCCCCAGUAAACGGCGGCCGUAACUAUAACGGUCCUAAGGUAGCGAAAUUCCUUGUCGGGUAAGUUCCGACCCGCACGAAAGGCGUAACGAUUUGGGCACUGUCUCAACGAGAGACUCGGUGAAAUCAUAGUACCUGUGAAGAUGCAGGUUACCCGCGACAGGACGGAAAGACCCCGUGGAGCUUUACUGUAGCCUGAUAUUGAAAUUCGGCACAGCUUGUACAGGAUAGGUAGGAGCCUUUGAAACGUGAGCGCUAGCUUACGUGGAGGCGCUGGUGGG